GUCCUGGUCAUGUAAAGCUCAUCAAAAUCUGUCAUUCUGUAUUUUGUACUGAGGGGUUGUUUAUGAUCAUGUAAUCAUUUUGAACACAUAUACUUCCAUUAACCUAACGUUACUGUGACUUUUUUUAAAUGUACACCUCAGAAUCCAGGCCACACUGACCAGAGACCUGCACUCCUUUGGAUGAAGAAGGCUACCCGUGUUUACAUGUCUGAACCAUUUCUUGUGUUGGAAAAACAGGAGACCUGAAGAGCUCUUGAUGCUUUUGGUUUGCCUCAUCCAUUAUGUCAGCAAAGAACAGGAGUGGGCAGGAAACAUGCGCUGUUGAAAACAUGGCCAACCAACUGGAGCACCCACAAGGCUCUUGUGAAGGAAGUCCACAAGCCUUUGUGCUUCAGGAUGGAUGGAAAGAACUCUUUGAUCAACCCCCAAAGAGAGCUGAGGUGGCUAUCUUUUGGAGACACCCCUGGCUGGUAGUGCUGCUGAAACUGGUGGAGGCAACAAUGAAGCGGCAACAGGUGGCAAAGGUUGCUGCUAUUGAAAAAUACUUUGAGAGUGAGUGUGUGUGCAUGUAUGUAGCUGGGUAGGUCAUGGUACAUGGUACAAAAAUACAGAAUUUAAAGCACUAGCACAACACUUAACUCACAACCCACAACUACUGACAAUGGAAUUACUCUUUUAGAGUGAGGGAGAGAGAUAGAAUAUUUCUGUAAAUGUUUAAUGUUAAUUUAGAAUAAUUUAUUUCUUUGAAUCAUUAUACAGUUUUAAAAUGUUUAAUUGUUUGUGUUUUUGUAUAUGAAAGAUGUCGAUUGUUGUAGAUAAAAGUAGCUUGUAUAUUUUAACUUGUUUAAUUUCUAAAGUGUAUACUG